AAGCUUGUAUGUCAAUCGGUAGACGAUUGGUCUCCAAAACCAAGGAUCUAGGUUCAAAUCCUAGCAAGCUUG
rnacentral:tRNA from 1 species